rnacentral:tRNA from 1 species
GCCCACUUAGCUCAGUUGGUUAGAGCAUCUGACUGUUAAUCAGAGGGUCCCAGGUUCGAGUCCUGGAGUGGGCG